CCGCAUCCAGUGAUCUGGGCUGAACACAGACGAGCCUCCAUGGAGUCUGUGCUGAGCUGGGUUUUCCUUGUUGCUGUUUUAAAAGGUGUCCAGUGUGAGGUGCAGCUGGUGGAGUCUGGAGGAGGCAUGAGUCAGCCUGGGGGGUCCCUGAGACUCUCCUGUGCAGCAUCUGGACUCACCAUCAGUGGCUACUGGAUGUACUGGGUCCGCCAGGCUCCAGGGAAGGGGCUGCAGUGGGUCUCACGUAUUACUAGUAGCGGUAACACAUACUACGCAGACUCCGUGAAGGGUCGAUUCAUCAUCUCCAGGGACAACGCCAAGAACACGCUGUAUCUGCAAAUGGACAGUCUGAAAGCCGAGGACACGGCCAUGUAUUACUGUUCGACACACACAGUGAGGGGAAGUCAGUGUGAGCCUAGACAAAAACCUCCCUUGUAA